CAGAGAGGGAGACGGAGAAUCCACAGUGGGCCCUAGCACUCGCAGUGCAGAGCUCAAAGUGGGGCUCGAACCCAUGAGCCAUGAGCUCAUAACCUGAGCUAAAGUCAGAUGCUCAACCGACCGCGCCAUCCAGGAGCUCCCAUAUAUUGGAAUUUCUAAUUGACCUUAAUAUUUAGGUUUCCAUUCUGAAAUUCUUUAUGAUGGACCUCUCAUUAUUACCUGGUAAAAUCUGCAGAUUCCGUUAAUUGCAUCAAGAAAGAUUUAUUGUUUCCCAUAAACAUUUUAAAUGACUUUUUAUUAGUCUUUAGAUUAAUUCAUUAAAAAAUGUAUUACAUUCAUAAUUCUCCAUCAAAAUGCCUUUAAUGAUCACUGGUUUACGUGUAAUGUUAAGGGUGGAAAGGCUGUGACUAAAACAUACUCAAAAUGUUUUUCCCUGGGCCAGGGUGGCUCAGAUGAAUAGUUUUGAGCCCUUUGGAAAGGUUUGCAAAAAAAAAAAGUGGACCUAUGGCUGCUCAGAUUUCAUGGAUAUCUGUUAUUAAUAAUAGUAAUGAUUUUUAGAAAUAAUGGCUACCGAUUCAUGUACCGUUUAUCCAACACUAUGCUAAAUACACUGUACCUAUAGGGAAACUAUUUCAGGUAAUCUUGUCAGCAACCUUGUGAGGCAAUAAUGCCUUUACUGUUCUAUCCGUUAGGGCACUGAGGCUUUAAAAGACUAAAUCACUUGCCAAGGUCACAGAUAUAGCAGAGCCUGGCUCCACGCCCACACCUUUCAGAAGUCAGGGCCUUACUCCUCAGAGUUCUCAAAGGCUGGUCUGAGGAUCCUGGGAGUUUCUGGGACCGUUUUAGGGGCCCUACAAGGCCCUCCCUCUCUUUCGUUACUGCAUAUCCAUGAGGCCACAUCCUCUUCUGUAGCUCAAUCAAAAUAACAGUGCAGCAGAUUGAAUCCAGAAGCACAUACGAAGAGUCAAUGGUCUUUUUCCUUUUUCUAAGCUAGAUGUUAAAGAGAUGCGCAGAAUUGUGAAACAGUGCAUCUCUUCUCACUAAGUGUUUGUUUCAUUUUGGAAAAUAUAAUCCGCUGUCAGAAAAGUAGGUUAUUUAUGGGACCAGGUAAUGAAUUCGUUAUUUUUAAAAACAACUUCAUGGAUGAUUGUUUACAACUUGUCAGUUACAAUUUCUAAUUUGUUAAACAUCGGUAUCGGUAAUUCCCGUAAACAAAAGCUCUCAGAGCUCCUCAGUGAUUUAAUAGAGAGCAGUCCUGAGAGGCGAGUGUUUGAGGAUGACCGCCUCAAACCUGACUCUUCCUGCUGCGGCGCGUGCUCUCCCCCGAGCUUCCUUCUGCGUUCAUAGGCUAGGGAGUUGGUUAUUUGCCAUUUUUCCUUCUCUUUACUCAGGUUUUUUGGUUUUUGGCUCUUGGUUUGUCUGUUCGUUUGUUUGUUUUGCAGAGUUUAUAGUGCAUUUCUUCUCCCUCUUCCUUAGAGAGCCCUUCCCCUGCCAUUGCAGAUUUUCCACUCGGGUUCCCUAGUGCCCUUUGAGGGAGCUCACCGGGGGUCCCUGGCGCGUGGAUUUGCGUGUUUCCCUCUCACUCCUCUGGUCGGCCCCUCUGGGCCUCUCCCACCUCGGCGCCAUUCGUUCCCAUGGGACGUGUCCAGGAGGGUCACGGCGCCACAGCGACUGUUCAGAGCGAACCUUCACGAGCACUUACUGCCCCCCCCCCCGCCCCCGCAGAGUAUCUCCUUCAAACCUCAAAACGUCUCCAUGACGUAGGUGUUAUUCUCCCCAUGCUACAGAUGGGGCCCGGACAGGUGACAUAGCCUGCCCAGUGUCACACAGCUGCGAAAUGGCAGAGGCAGUCAGGCUUCUGUGUCGGGGUAACCGGCAGGUCCUGCUGCUGAAAAUGCGUUUCAUCAGGUCUCCCCCUGCUGGGCCCAGACUGUGACGCCCUCCAUGGACCACUGCUGUUUCGUUUCCGUUUCCCCCUUUUCCACAUUUAGACCACUUGGAUUGGAUCUGUGUUUCCUAACGGGCAUCACAGUUCACAAAGCCUCUAGUGUUUUUCGGUCCCUGUCGGACAUCGGGAGGGGAGCCGGCAGCAUCCCAGGAACAAGAGAUCCUUUCAGGGGGACGGGACAACGUGUUCAAUAGCGACAGUGCAGCGGGCAGGGUUCCUGCAGAACUGAUUGUUCACCUAACUGGCCUGGAGGUCUGGCAGAGGAGGGAGGGGAUCAGAAAAAUGAAUUGGGGCAUCCAAUGCUCUUCGUGUGUUCAUAACAAUCUCAGCAGCUGCCGCGUGGCCAAUGUCUUCCCCGGUUCCGAGAAAAAGUACUGCUCCGGCACCGGACGGCCUUCGUUUUCUGAGGCUCACGGGACAUCUGGCUCCGAUGAAAGGGACGCGGGGAUCCUGAGAGGCGUGGACACCUCGUUAGGAUUAACUCGCACCAAGGUUGUCUGCAAGCAGUGUGGAGCCCGUCUUGGCCGCGUGCUUCCUGAUGGACGUGGGCCUAGUGGGCAGAGGUUUUGCAUCAACAGUGUGGCACUGAAGUUCAAACCAAGGAAAUACUGACUGUCUCCAGGGUCCCCUCCUCUCGCCACUGCUUCAUUUACACCCUCAGUUGUCAUCGCUCAUAUGAAUGACGUGUUCUGUUGGCUACCAAGCUAGGCCAAAUGUGCUGCUGGCACCAGGCAAGUCACAACCUCUGGGAUGUAUUUACCUGGACUCAGCCCAACCCUGACUCCAGCUUGGACUGGAAUUUCACGCAGUGACAGAAGGGCAGCCAUUUCCAUCGAAUUGACUUCUGUAGGCUUUGCCUGGGACCGGAGGGUGUGACUCUUGGGGGACAUUAAGAAGCUGAUGGACCACGAGCCAAAAAACUCCUACAAAACUACCCUGACCUUACCACUGCAGUGAAGCACUUCGUGGACCUAUACAGAUGUUGAAGGGGUACUUGCUGUUCUCUGGGCUCUUUUCUAGUUACCGGAGACACGGCAGUCAACAACACAGAUGAAGUCUCUGAGCUCCUGCCCUCAUUUGGAGCUUCCGUAGAGGUAGAGGAGGUGAGGGAAGAGCAUUCGGGCAGAGAGGACCACACACCGCACAGUUUAUGUGGAGGGAGUGCCCUUCACGAACAGCGAGGGGACCAGCGGGGCUCAUUACAAGCGAAGGAAGAAAAGAAUUCUCUACAGUGACCCAUCUUGUUUCUUCCGACAUAAUGAGUUAAAUGGAGGCUGAUCAAAGGAUCCCAGUGGUUGGGUUGGCUGUAAUCGGACUUAGGAAAGGAAGGAGCGGACCCGUGUCACAUCGCCACCAGCGUGCACAUCCCGUCCUGAAUGAUGCCAUCAGGCUCAGCUCAAAAGGCCGCAAACAGCACUCUCCAUCCGCCCGGGGCAAGGGUGGCCUGCGAGGGGCCACUGGGGCCGGAGGACUCCAGGAAAAGGCCGUUUUCUCAAGACGUCAGCAAGUGAGGAAUUCUUCACAGAAGGGGCUGUCGGCAGGCUCGCGUCUGCCCAACUUCCUCUCCUCACGCUCUCUGACCUUUCUCCCACCUUAGGACGCACUAACUGAGGGUCCCCCGAGUCUGGCUCUGGGGAGCAGGGGUGGGAGCACGGCCUUGGCGGCCGGCUGAGAAGCUUCUGGUCGUUUCCUCUGCACAGGGGGCACCCGUGGGGCUGCCUCCCGUCUGUGUAAGGGAGGGAGGUUUGUGUCUGCGAAGUCACCCACGACGAGGUCCUGGAGUGUUCCCACGGACGGGAUGCCCUCCUCCCCGAGAGUCGUCGUGAACAAAAGAGUGCUUCCUGUUACAUUUAGAUGCCGAUUAUCAGGGAGGGGGUAGUGAUUGAUGAGAUGAGGGUGCAGGGAGCGUUCUCUCCGUCGUAGGAGUAUUUGGCUGCUUGGUAACUGUUCACAGCCUGUUUCUUCCUCGUGCGCAACCUGAAAUCAUUUUCUUUGUAAAUGUUAAAAGCCGUGUGAAAAACACCCAACCACCUCGAUGAGUCCUCUUUGGACUUCCAUCAGCAGCACGGCAGCCUCUGAAUAAACUGUAAUUUCCUUCACCCCACCUGUUGAGAACAUUUAGGCCACAUUUAGGAAAAACAACAACAACGACACCUGGAUAGGGGUCUCAAGAACAAUUAGCAAUUAAAAUAAUCUAUGUUCUCCACCUCCGUAUCAACACGGCCGCUUGACUCAUUUCCGUCUCAGGCACAGCCUCGCUCGGGAGCACCGUCCUCCCCCAUUCGGAGCCGUCGGAAUCACCGGAGGCAUCUUAGGUGUUGGGAGGCAUCUCUCCGUGUUCGAGAAUCUAUCGGCGCAUCACUCACUUUAGAACCGAACUCGAUGCCUUUUCCAGAGAAUAGGCUUCUAGGGGUCACCGGUCCUCCCCUCAAGUCUCCACCGCUCGGGACUAAAGAAAGUGCCUGGCCCGGGGCGGGUGCACCUGUGCUGUCUGUUACCCCCUCCCCCAGCUGCCCGGACCCCAGCCACAGCCUGGGCUUUCCCUAAAGAUACUCCUCUGUGGGGGUUAUUCCCGGAGUCACCGACCCCCAGCACCAUAAAAUGCCACAGAGAGAAGGGAAUGAAAAGUCACUGGGUCCAACCCCUGUGGAUUUUACAGGUAAACAAACUGAACCCCGGAGAGACUUACCUAGCUAGUGGCAGCCAUGACACCCAAGGUUCCUGAACCUCAGCCCACUUUCUCCCCUGGGUGGUCUUCAUGGGCAGAAACUGGAUUCGGUGGUCUCUGUCUUGGAAAAGCAAGAUGUCAACUUCACCUCAGGCGUUCUUUGCUAACUUUGCCUGGAGGCUUUCCCAAGGCCAUGGUCAGGCCCAAGAGCCUGAGAGCUCCAGAAAACAUGGCAGCGCUCCAUAUAAGGGGGUGGCCAUCCUACAGCGCCUCGUUUCCCCUUCCCGAACCUCCCCAGAGACCAGACACGGAGGCCUGCAGCAGGGCUAGGACUUCUAUGAGGCGGGAAAGGCAGCUCACUGGUCGGGGCACUCGCCCUCAGACCCUAGGGGCGGCGGAUGCUAAGAUCAUUCCGAGAUCGGAACAACGACCACAUGGACAGAGCUGCUCCCUGGGGCCUCCUCCCCAAGGUCAGAGACCCUGGGACAAUCCAUAGGCAAGGUUGGGAGGAGCCACCUAAGGGUCCCCUGUUGCCAAGACACAUUGAGGGAUGGUCACCACAUGACCCUCUACAAAAUGUCCUCAGUGGGCCGGGGUCUUCAGUUCAGCAACGCUUCCAGAAUGUCCGAGCUGAGCGUCACAGUGCUUUGCCACGGACAGCAAGCCCCCGGAGCCCGGGGACCCCCCCCCCCAACCGCCACUGAUCAGUGUGCACUUAACAAAAAUGCUCGGGCUCAUUCUAAACACAGGUUGAUAGUUUAGGAUGCAGAAUAACCGAUCGAUGACAGUGAUAGUAAAACAUAAAGCAGUAAAUAGUAAAAAAAAAC